CUUCGCAUGGCGUCCACGCCUCUUGAUCUCGACCCAGUGCCACCGGUUGUCAUUCAACAAGCCAUCGCCAGCACUCAAGACAAGUUCUCCUGGUUCAAAGGAAUCAUACUACAAGGUGCGUACGUUCGACGCUUGUGUACAGCAGUACUCCCUCUUUGGACGACGUCCGGAACCGGAAGCCAAUGAAGUUACGCAGAGGGGUCUUAGACCUCGUUUCCUUGGCAACGUUGUAACGAAUGUAACCCGAGCCGUUGAGCCAUACAGACGAAGACUCUGAAGUGCAAAAGGUAAAUUGAGAACUUGUGAGUCCAGAAAGAUCCCCCCCUCCCCUCUCAAACUCAACCCAACCCUAAAAUACAGACUCUGAAGAGCAAAAGGAAAUUGAAAACUUGUGAGUCCAGAAAGAUCCCCCCUCCCCUCUCAAACCCAACCCAACCCUAAAAUACAGACUCUGAAGAGCAAAAGGAAAUUGAAAACUUGUGAGUCCAGAAAGAUCCCCCCUCCCCUCUCAAACCCAACCCAACCCUAAAAUACAGACUCUGAAGAGUAAAAGGAAAUUGAAAACUUGUGAGUCCAAAAAGAUCCCCCCUCCCCUCUAAAACCCAACCCAACCCUAAAAUACAGACUCUGAAGAGCAAAAGGAAAUUGAAAACUUGUGAGUCCAGAAAGAUCCCCCCUCCCCUCUCAAACCCAACCCAACCCUAAAAUACCGACUCUGAAGAGCAAAAGGAAAUUGAAAACUUGUGAGUCCAGAAAGAUCCCCCCUCCCCUCUAAAACCCAACCCAACCCUAAAAUACAGACUCUGAAGAGCAAAAG